rnacentral:lncRNA from 1 species
AAGUGUAAAUUCUCGUAUUGACAAGUGGUAUUCAUUCUCAGUGAAUGAAACAGAAAUGGGGGAUGGGCCAGUGGACCUACCAUGUGGGCAGCCUCUGCCCUGCCCAAAGGCCUCUUUUCCUGUUUUUGUCCAGCUGACACUGAGGACUCACUACUCUUAGGAGACUCAGAAGACUCCCUGCUCCGGUGCCCAGCUACAAAUUGAUUUUGAUCCCAAUAGAAAACGCAAAGCAGUGGGGAGCUCUCCCUCCAUGAGGCCCUUUGACUCUUCCUGUCCAGCCUCCUCAGCCCAGGAAACAAAAGCACCUGUGGGCUGUGCUCCACCAGCCGUGAGGCAUGCUCCUUGAGGUCCCAUAGGAGGCAUGAAUCAGGGGCUCCCUCCAGGGCUAGUAGGCUCUGGCAACCUUGUCUUUCCUAUCUCAUGCUGCCUCAAAAACAGCCCUCCUUGCUCUGCUCCACCCCAGUCCCUUGGCUCUGCCCACUCAGCACUCUGGACUUGCCCUGGUUUUCAGAACCUGCAGACCCUGGAAUGCCUGAGGCUGCUCUGGACUGAUCCCUUGGUCUCCAGAGACUUCAGCCAGAGGGAAGGAGCCUAGAUGGAGCUUGGCUGGAUAAAUCGAAUCCAUGCUAAACCUGUCCUACUGUGUUUCUGGAUGGAAAGGACCAAGGAGCUCAAGGAGGAGCCCAUUGAGUGUACGCUGUGAUGUGAGCAGAACGCAGUAAGAGCCGCAAGCUGGCCUAUGAGCAAUUAGUCUGAGCAGGCUGGGAAAGGACAGAGCUCAAUGGUAGAGCUGUUAGCUAACAGGCAGGAUAUGCUGGGCUCCAUUCUCAGAACCACAAACCUUCCAAAACAAAGGAAAACAAAGAGCAGACCAUAGAGGAAUUUCUCAUAAGCUGAAAUGCUUCCUAGGAUUUCCUGGAAAACUUCUGAAACGGUUUCUGGACUGCAGCUCCAGAAAUUGCUUAUAUUGCUUGGGCUGCAGCAAGGCACUGGGGUCCUGGAAAGUUCUGCAAGUAAUCAGAAGAUGCAGCAUGGCCUGUGAACUAGUGCACUGGAGUUAGACCACUUUCCAGGCCAGCUGCCACUUACUAGCUUAGUGAGCUUGAGAAAGUCACUGGACCUCCUGAAGCUUCAAUGUCCCUAUUUCAUAGCAAGUAUCCAGCAAAUGCUGUUUUGUGAAGGGAUUCAGAGAAGCAGAGCAGGUGCUGGCCCCUGGCUCAGGAGCAUGGAACUGGUUCAGGACAACUCCCCCUCCACUGGCCAAUGGAUCAGAAGGUCAAGGUGCACCCUGACUCUCAUCCCACACAUCAAGUACUUUGCAGAGGUGAUGGGUCCACUUCAGAACUUCCAGGCUUGGCCCAAUGACCUGCUUAUCAGCACCUACCCCAAGU